rnacentral:rRNA from 1 species
GAUGAACGCUGGCGGCGUGCCUAAUACAUGCAAGUCGAGCGAACGGACGAGAAGCUUGCUUCCCUGAUGUUAGCGGCGGACGGGUGAGUAACACGUGGAUAACCUACCUAUAAGACUGGGAUAACUUCGGGAGACCGGAGCUAAUACCGGAUAAUAUUUUGAACCGCAUGGUUCAAAAGUGAAAGACGGUCUUGCUGUCACUUAUAGAUGGAUCCGCGCUGCAUUAGCUAGUUGGUAAGGUAACGGCUUACCAAGGCAACGAUGCAUAGCCGACCUGAGAGGGUGAUCGGCCACACUGGAACUGAGACACGGUCCAGACUCCUACGGGAGGCAGCAGUAGGGAAUCUUCCGCAAUGGGCGAAAGCCUGACGGAGCAACGCCGCGUGAGUGAUGAAGGUCUUCGGAUCGUAAAACUCUGUUAUUAGGGAAGAACAUAUGUGUAAUUAACUGUGCACAUCUUGACGGUACCUAAUCAGAAAGCCACGGCUAACUACGUG